rnacentral:rRNA from 1 species
UCUGCAGGGAUGCGGAAGUGCCUUCGGGAACUGUGAGACAGGUGCUGCAUGGCUGUCGUCAGCUCGUGUUGUGAAAUGUUGGGUUAAGUCCCGCAACGAGCGCAACCCUUAUCCUUUGUUGCCAGCGGUCCGGCCGGGAACUCAAAGGAGACUGCCAGUGAUAAACUGGAGGAAGGUGGGGAUGACGUCAAGUCAUCAUGGCCCUUACGACCAGGGCUACACACGUGCUACAAUGGCGCAUACAAAGAGAAGCGACCUCGC